UGGGAGUCAGAACAUGGGUGAUAAGGUCCGUGUUCGAAAGGGAAACAGCCCAGACCACCAGCUAAGGUCCCAAAAUAUAUGUUAAGUGGAAAAGGAUGUGGCGUUGCCCAGACAACUAGGAUGUUGGCUUAGAAGCAGCCAUCAUUUAAAGAGUGCGUAAUAGCUCACUAGUCGAGUGACACUGCGCCGAAAAUGUACCGGGGCUAAACAUAUUACCGAAGCUGUGGAUUGUCCUUUGGACAAUGGUAGGAGAGCGUUCUAAGGGCGUUGAAGCAUGAUCGUAAGGACAUGUGGAGCGCUUAGAAGUGAGAAUGCCGGUGUGAGUAGCGAAAGACGGGUGAGAAUCCCGUCCACCGAUUGACUAAGGUUUCCAGAGGAAGGCUCGUCCGCUCUGGGUUAGUCGGGUCCUAAGCUGAGGCCGACAGGCGUAGGCGAUGGAUAACAGGUUGAUAUUCCUGUACCACCUAUAAUCGUUUUAAUCGAUGGGGGGACGCAGUAGGAUAGGCGAAGCGUGCGAUUGGAUUGCACGUCUAAGCAGUAAGGCUGAGUAUUAGGCAAAUCCGGUACUCGUUAAGGCUGAGC
rnacentral:rRNA from 1 species